rnacentral:misc_RNA from 1 species
GGAAGGAUCAUUAACAAAUCCUGAAUUGAUGUGCAUGGGUGUGUGAUGUCAUUUGUGAAGAGGGGAUGUCAUAUUCCUUGUUCACAUUUGAUGGCACACGCCUCGUCACAACAAUACACUCGUUCCAUGUGCAUUCAUUUGUGCAUGACAACAUUUCUACGAAUCAUCUGAUUGUCACAUAAUCUAAUUUAUCAUAAAGACUUUUAACAAUGGAUCUCUAGGCUCUUGCAUCGAUGAAGAACGCAGUGAAGUGCGAAAAGUAAUGCGAUUUGCAUGCUCUGUGAGUCAUCGAAUCUUUGAACGCAUAUGGCACCUGCUAACUUUUUGUUAGAAGGUAUGCCUGUUUGAGAAUCAUAUUCUAUGUAUUCCUUUGUUCUCUUACUGUCACUAAUACUCUUUUUGACGGUCAAAGGAUCAAGGGAUAAUUGGACUUUUAUCAUUAAUCGUCUUGAAUCCUGAAACGUGACUGCUGAUGGUAAAUGGAAUGUAUAUUCAUUCGAUAUAUAUAUUCGGCAUGUCAAAUAACAACUCAUUAAUGAUCUCAAAUCAGGCAAGGCUACCCGCUGAACUUAAGCAUAUCAGUAAGCGGAGGAAAAGAAACUAACAAGGAUUCCCUCAGUAACGGCGAGUGAAGUGGGAAGAGCUCAAAUUUUAAAUCCAAGAGUGUUGCUCUUUGAAUUGUAGUUUAUAGAUGUGAAUCAUGGUUGGUGUACUGAUGUGCAAGUCUCCUGGAAUGGAGUAUCACAGAGGGUGAGAAUCCCGUUUGGAUGUCAGUGCCAUCAAUCGAUCGAAUCAUGUCAAAGAGUCGAGUUGUUUGGGAAUGCAGCUCAAAAGGGGUGGUAAAUUCCAUCUAAAGCUAAAUAUUGGCAAGAGACCGAUAGCAAACAAGUACUGUGAAGGAAAGAUGAAAAGCACCUUGAAAAGGGAGUUAAAUAGUGCGUGAAAUUGUUAAAAGGGAAACGAUUGGGACCAGUAUCGUCUUGCAUUGGUUGAGUAGUCGAGUGAUCGGCUGUGAUCUCUGAUGUGAGCGAGUCAAUGACAGUUUGUGAUUUCGCAUGACCCCUGAGGAAAGAUGACGCUUCGUGCGUUUUAUAGUCCUUGGAUGGGUGCGUCACGGCAGACUGUGUGAAGAUCCAUGGUAAUCUAUCAAUGUCGUGUUGUUUGAAACAUUCGUAGACAGCAUGCUGAUUGCGAGUGUGCAGAGCAACAUUAAUUGUAGCACGUGGAAUACACAUUGACGAAAUGGUUCUAAACGACCCGUCUUGAAACACGGACCAAGGAGUCUAACGUAUAUGCAAGUAUUUGAGUGGUAAACUCGAAUGCGGAAUGAAAGUGAACGAUGGGAAUAUUUAAUUACGCACCAUCGACCGAUCUUGAUAUCUUUUGAUAGAUUCGAGUCAGAGCAUAUCUGUUGGGACCCGAAAGAUGGUGAACUAUGCCUGAAUAGGGUGAAGCCAGAGGAAACUCUGGUGGAAGCUCGUAGCCGUUCUGACGUGCAAAUCGAUGGUCAAAUUUGGGUAUAGGGGCGAAAGACUAAUCGAACCAUCUAGUAGCUGGUUCCCUC